rnacentral:rRNA from 1 species
UCGGAAACUGGGAAACUUGAGUGCAGAAGAGGACAGUGGAACUCCAUGUGUAGCGGUGAAAUGCGUAGAUAUAUGGAAGAACACCAGUGGCGAAGGCGGCUGUCUGGUCUGUAACUGACGCUGAGGCUCGAAAGCAUGGGUAGCGAACAGGAUUAGAUACCCUGGUAGUCCAUGCCGUAAACGAUGAAUGCUAGGUGUUGGAGGGUUUCCGCCCUUCAGUGCCGCAGCUAACGCAUUAAGCAUUCCGCCUGGGGAGUACGACCGCAAGGUUGAAACUCAAAGGAAUUGACGGGGGCCCGCACAAGCGGUGGAGCAUGUGGUUUAAUUCGAAGCAACGCGAAGAACCUUACCAGGUCUUGACAUCUUUUGAUCACCUGAGAGAUCAGGUUUCCCCUUCGGGGGCAAAAUGACAGGUGGUGCAUGGUUGUCGUCAGCUCGUGUCGUGAGAUGUUGGGUUAAGUCCCGCAACGAGCGCAACCCUUAUGACUAGUUGCCAGCAUUUAGUUGGGCACUCUAGUAAGACUGCCGGUGACAAACCGGAGGAAGGUGGGGAUGACGUCAAAUCAUCAUGCCCCUUAUGACCUGGGCUACACACGUGCUACAAUGGAUGGUACAACGAGUUGCGAGACCGCGAGGUCAAGCUAAUCUCUUAAAGCCAUUCUCAGUUCGGACUGUAGGCUGCAACUCGCCUACACGAAGUCGGAAUCGCUAGUAAUCGCGGAUCAGCACGCCGCGGUGAAUACGUUCCCGGGCCUUGUACACACCGCCCGUCACACCAUGAGAGUUUGUAACACCCGAAGCCGGUGGCGUAACCCU